rnacentral:misc_RNA from 1 species
UUGCAGUGACUUCAUACUGCGUGUGCUGCGGGGCUAACCCUCUACAGCUCUCCUCCCUUUUUCCUCCCUUGCCGUGCUGUGCCUCAUACCAACGAAGACGUACACAUAAAGCAUCAUCUCGGGCUGCCUCUCGUCGACGCCCUCUACCUCUAUCCUCACCCCACCCCCUCUUCACAGAUUGUUCUCUGUUCAUUUUUCAUCUCUGGGAGGUUGUCGCGGUCACAUGCGCCGCUCUGUCUACUACAUGGGUCGCAGCUUCACGCAGCGACACCUGAAUGCGUGCUUCAGUCCGCUGGCCACCGGUUUUGUUCGGCCUAAUGCUUUCUCCAGCACAGCACAUGGCCUUGUGGCAUCGCCGCUGUGCGGUAGCGGCUGCAUCGGUAGCGGCGUUGUUGGCGCAAACGGCGCUCUGGUCGCGUCCACAGAGGCGUCGCUGAGCCAGCUCCUGGCACCGAUAAUUGUGCAGGGGAAGUCCAUCUCCAUGCUGGCGAGUCUCCUGUGCAUUCAAAAUAUAUCAACCUGCGUCUGUGCAUGCGUAAGAGUAUUAGCCGGAUUUAGAAUGAGCUGUUCUCCACCUUCCCAGGACUGCUUGGCGACGCGAAAUUGACUGCGUAUUUCCUUUGAAUGAACGGAGACAGGUGCAGUGGCCAGUUGCACUCCUUACGGGCCAGCCGUGAAGAGGACAUGUGGCAAGACAGAGGGCGGUGUGCACGCUCAGUGUACGGUGUGACCACAUAAUGCGCUGUGUGGGCGCAAACACGCACACGCAUUCAGGCCUACAUCAAGCUCUCUCACUGGCUUGGUUUGUUGCUGUUGGGUGAGGUGAAGCAGUGGCGAUGCACGUGUGACUGAAAACAGCGACGCUCAGAAAACAGGAGAAAGCGCGGAGUAGCAACGAGGGUGAUGCCGAUGCAGCAGUCUGCGGAUGCUACCAGGAUACCCUUUAGUGUAGUGUGUGUGUGCGCGCUUGACUGUCGUUGCACGGACACCGCUUCGCGUCCUCGGGCUCGCGAUCGUGGUGUCGGAGGAACCAUGCGUCACUCCCUCUCCUACAUCUGGCCUCGUUAUGUCUUUCUGCUCGUGUCGGUGCGUUGUGUUCUUUUUUCCUCUCUCGUGUGUGAGGGGGGGGGAGUGAGGGGGUUGCGUGGAGUCAGUUAAGGAUAACCGUUCUUACCGUGGCAACACAAUGAGGAUGACCCCAAUAUAUAUAUAUAUAAGGCGGUGACGGUGGUGCUGAAGUGCAUGUCCACAAAGAGCAAAAAAGCAGACCAGUGAACGCGAAGGACGCAAGACGCGCGCACACAAACGAUGGAGAAUGUUUGAAUGCUGCAAAAUAAUAAUAGUAAACGGAGAAACGGUAGCGAAGUAGGGGAGGGAGGGGAGGGAGAUGAGGAGCAGGUAGAGGGGGAUUGGGUUCAGGUCGUGCGGAUUGGAGGGGGGUCCAAAGGUAAUGAACGCGUUUCUAGGUGACCGUUUGGAUAGACAUCGGAUGUACAGGAAUUGUGGAAGAAGCCCGUUGAUGUGUGACCGGUGUAUGUACGGUUUGUCAGACCCCCUCUCUUGUCUUGUCCACCUAUCUGCAGAUAUAAUCAUCGCUGCGUUGAAUCGCACCCCUCCUUAAUCCUUUCGCCACUUCACUUCGUGUACACCAGCAUAAGUGGUACUUGUGAGAACGCAUCUCAUGGCACUGCCGACGCUGCGCCUACACCCCUCCCCCUAACCCUCCAGCAGCGGCAUCCUAUUCUUCAAAUGCAUCUCUUCACGCCCACCACCGCCCCCUUUCAUCUUUCCCUGUGUGUGUGUCUUCUGUUCUUGUUCCAGUUCUCGUUGCCAAGUUACAUGCCGUUCCCUAUCGAUGUUUUGCUCAUCUUCGUCUCCUCUUGUGUUUCCCCUGUCGCAUCUGACUGCGCCGUCUUCAGGGACGCUCACGACGGGGGCUUUAACAGGAAGGUAGAUGUCUAAAGAAACAUUCCUCAGCAGCUGACUCUCUCUCUCUCUUCGUCACGGACGCCUCAGCGACGAUGUUGUCGGCGUGCUCUCCACUAACAGCAUGCCUUGCCUACACACCCGGCGAGGAGGGGAGCUAAGAGGAAGGAAAAUGGAGUGGAAGGCAUUUGACCUCUUUUUUCUCUGUGGAGGACUUGCAUCCGGCCGCGUUCACGCGCGGUAUGCGUCGAUAAGUAAACCAAGCCACAGCUACGCACGCCGCCCGCAUAAGAACUGUCAAGCUCUGUGAGCGCUGAGAAGGUCUGGAAGGCGUGCGUGUGUGGAGGGGGGACGGGGAUCUCAGUAUGAGCAUGAGUGGCCUAGAAGAGAAAACGAGCUGAGCGGUUGGAGCCACUUGCGCAAGUGCCCUCCGCCAAAACGGUCGCUCGCUGUCUUUUGCUGCUAAAUAUGUGCGUCUCUGACGCCUCCCCUCAUUCCUGAUCCUGCCUGCCUCCCAGCGUCUCUUCCUCUCUGCUCCCGUCGGCAUCAGCCUUGGCUUGGCCUUUGGCCGUUAUGACGCGGUAUGGUGC